rnacentral:lncRNA from 1 species
UGUGUGUGUGUGCACGGGUGCGCUCUUAUCUAACCUUCCUCGCUCCCCAGGGUGUGUGCCUGCCUUCUGGCCUCUGCCGUGGCCUUCCCGCAGCCUGACCCUCUGCCAUCUUACCUAAACACUCUCUUAUUCUGAUGAUCCCUAUAAUGGAGUACACGGUGUUCAUAAGACAACUCAUUCUGUGAAUCUGUUCAUCGUGUUUACCAAAUGUUUGCCUCCUUUUUAAGCAGGAAGGAUGCGUGAGAUGCCAAGUCGUUCACUUUGACUAAUUCCUGUGUUGUCUCCCCAAACAGCCAACAGAUGCCUUUGCUAUACUUUCCCGUGUAACUGUGGAUGGGGCCGCACACCUCUUCGGUAAUGAGGAAAACGCCUGACCUCUGGAGCCUCUACAUGACCUGACCUGAACUCACCUGUUCUGAACCAACAAGCCUCAGGAUGAAAAAUAAAACAAAAUAGAGACUCUUCCUUCUCACUUCUCACUUGCAUUCACGCCUAAUAAAGCCUGCAAUAUCUGUUCAUGCUUGAUAUUAGUUUGGUGUUCCUUUGCCUCGCUGCACGCUGGCUGUCUGGUGGAGGCACAAGAAAGGCUUGCAAGCGUCAUUUAGAAAAGUUAACCUUACAUCUGACACACUUCUGUUCUUACAAUAAGCAAAUCGCAUCGAAUCACUAAGACUUUCCAAUCUUUUCACAUAAACAACAUUUGCGUUAGAUGUGAGAGCAAUUCAUUAAAAUGUUUUGGAAAUGCAAUUUUGGCAACGCGUUUGAUAUGGGAAAGUUUCCAUAGGUGAGACGCUGCAUCCCCUGGCUGAUGGAGUCCCGGAACAGCCGCUUCCGCUCCGACGCCCAGUGGCUUUCCCACACGCAUUGACAUAGGCAGGAGUGUCCGUGUCGCCUGGUGCACUUGUUGGCAGUGUAUACAGCCUGGGCUCCUGCUGCUUCUCUCCAUAUCUGCAUCUGCCACCGCUGUCGUCUCCCUACUGCACACCAGCUUCUGGACUUCACCUCCUGGCUUGUUGCUGAGUGGAUUUUCACUGGUGACUCAGCACGCCGUCCUUGCACACGACAGCAGUGGUUCGGUUAUUUGUUAUUGUCUGUGUUAAUACACUCAUUCUGUUUUGUCAUGUUUUCCUUUCCCAAGGGCUAGACUAACUAAUCCUGGCUUAACAUCAUUUAUAUUUUGAGGGCGAGAGAUCGUGGCCUCCCGUUUCCCCCACACGUAUCGCAACCUAGCGUAACCUAUACCCUAACGUAACGUAAAGUAACGUAACCUAGCCUAUCGUAAAGUAAUGCAGAGUAACCUGAAGUAAGGUAACCUAUCCUACCGUAAUUAAACCAACCGUAACCUAAAGUAACGUAAUGCUCGGCGCCUCUUCCCUUUCUUGUGUUCCGGGCGGCGCUCGGAGUCCUGGCAGGAUGGGCGGGGCGUGCCUAUAGUGCCAGUCAACCAUGAGAGUGCCACGGGGAGAGCCACAACUCACCAAUCUUCGACAUGGUGGUCUUGUUGGUGUGUGCCUGCUUGCUGGCCUCAGCCGUGGCCUUCCCUCGCCCGGAACCGCUGCCUGGGCACCCUCUUCCUUUGGCUCCCCUAGAAGGCACUGAAUGCUUCUGCUUCGCUCUGCCUUGUGAUUGUGGAAGGGGCCGCGAACUCUGGUGACGAGAACAAUGACUUUGGGAGCCUCAUCAUGUCCUGAUCUGACCUGACCUGACCUGACCUGACCCCAACCAAGAAGCCUCAAGAUAAAGAAUGUAACUUGCAUUCACAUCUUCAUCUCAAAUUUCCUUUCUAUUGUUCUAUUGCAGCUGUGGUAGAAGGCCACUCUUCUCCUAAAUCUAUUAACAGUGGAGUUCCUCAUGGUUCUGUCCUGUUACCCACUUCCUUUCUAUUAUUCAUUAAUGAUCUUCUAAACCCUUCCACUCCACUUUCCACUCCUACGCUAAUGAUACCACCCUAACACUUUUCCACGUCUUUUCAUAGACGAUCAAGCCUUCAGGAAGUCAACAGAUCACGCAGGGAUGCCACAAAACGCCUGACUUCUGAUCUUUCUAAGAUUUCUGAUUGGGGCAAAGAAAACUUCAAGGUCUCAAAAACUUAAUUCCUCCAUCUAUCAACUCGACACAACCUUCCAGACAACUAUCCCCUCUUCUUCAAUGACACUCAACUGUCUCCCUCUUCCACACUAAAUAUGCUCGGUCUGUCCUUUACUUAUAAUCUAAAAUGGAAACUUCACAUCUCAUCUCUUGCUAA